ACCUUCGGGCCUCUUGCCAUCAGAUGUGCCCAGAUGGGAUUAGCUAGUAGGUGGGGUAACGGCUCACCUAGGCGACGAUCCCUAGCUGGUCUGAGAGGAUGACCAGCCACACUGGAACUGAGACACGGUCCAGACUCCUACGGGAGGCAGCAGUGGGGAAUAUUGCACAAUGAGCGCAAGCCUGAUGCAGCCAUGCCGCGUGUAUGAAGAAGGCCCUCGGGUUGUAAAGUACUUUCAGCGGGGAGGAAGGCGUUGAGGUUAAUAACCUCAGCGAUUGACGUUACCCGCAGAAGAAGCACCGGCUAACUCCGUGCCAGCAGCCGCGGUAGUACGGAGGGUGCAAGCGUUAAUCGGAAUUACUGGGCGUAAAGCGCACGCAGGCGGUCUGUCAAGUCGGAUGUGAAAUCCCCGGGCUCAACCUGGGAACUGCAUUCGAAACUGGCAGGCUAGAGUCUUGUAGAGGGGGGUAGAAUUCCAGGUGUAGCGGUGAAAUGCGUAGAGAUCUGGANGNGAAUACCGGUGGCGAAGGCGGCCCCCUGGACAAAGACUGACGCUCAGGUGCGAAAGCGUGGGGAGCAAACAGGAUUAGAUACCCUGGUAGUCCACGCCGUAAACGAUGUCGACUUGGAGGUUGUGCCCUUGAGGCGUGGCUUCCGGAGCUAACGCGUUAAGUCGACCGCCUGGGGAGUACGGCCGCAAGGUUAAAACUCAAAUGAAUUGACGGGGGCCCGCACAAGCGGUGGAGCAUGUGGUUUAAUUCGAUGCAACGCGAAGAACCUUACCUACUCUUGACAUCCAGAGAACUUUCCAGAGAUGGAUUGGUGCCUUCGGGGACUCUGAGACAGGUGCUGCAUGGCUGUCGUCAGCUCGUGUUGUGAAAUGUUGGGUUAAGUCCCGCAACGAGCGCAACCCUUAUCCUUUGUUGCCAGCGGUCCGGCCGGGAACUCAAAGGAGACUGCCAGUGAUAAACUGGAGGAAGGUGGGGAUGACGUCAAGUCAUCAUGGCCCUUACGAGUAGGGCUACACACGUGCUACAAUGGCGCAUACAAAGAGAAGCGACCUCGCGAGAGCAAGCGGACCUCAUAAAGUGCGUCGUAGUCCGGAUUGGAGUCUGCAACUCGACUCCAUGAAGUCGGAAUCGCUAGUAAUCGUAGAUCAGAAUGCUACGGUGAAUA
rnacentral:rRNA from 1 species